UACAUCAUGUAACAUCAGUAUCGAUCAGCAGUAUUAAAAAGUGGAACAAACGCUGUGGAGAAACGGCUGACUGUGACUCAAGCCAGAAAUAGACAAGAAAGGUUCAAAACAUCUCGGGUGCCAGAAAAUAAGGAAGUGCUCAAAACUAAAAGAGAAGGGGGAAGAAAAUUGACGGGAGCACGCCAGAGGAACUCAGGAUGAAGUGAAGAGCCUGCAGUGGGGAGAUCUAGAAGCAUCGGAGCCAUAAAGUAAGGAAGCCUCAAUCAACCCAAGGAGGAUGAAAUGACAGCCGACCUCUCACGGAGUGCUGAUGACUGAAAGGAAGUGAGUUAAGACUGCCCUCUGUUUGCCACGCCCACGCCACUGGGACCAGGAACUGUGCAAGUUCUGUGGUCUUCCAGCGGUGCAGUGGUGGCAUAUACCUUAUCCCAGGGCUCCGGAAGCAGAUCUCUGAAUUUGAGGCUAGACUGGUCUACAGAGCAGUUCCAGGAUAGCCAGAAGGGCUGUCUCAACAACAACAAAACCAAACCAAACCAAACCAAACCAAAAGAAUUGAGAGAGAGGGGGGAAGGAGAGAGAGAGAGAGAGAGAGAGAGAGAGAGAGAGAGAGAGAGAGAGAUUGAUUCUUUAUGUGCCCCAGACUCCAGACUGGCCUGGCCUUGAAUUAACUCUUCCUAGGCUACACAGUGAAUUGAAGGCUUGCCCAACGAUCCUAGUGAGAGCCUUUCUUAAAAUCAAAACAGAACAGAAGAUCUGGGGCUGUAACGCAUUGCUAGAGUGCUUGCCUAGCAUGUGCAAGACCCCAUACUUAGGAUCCAGAAACAAAAUGCCUAGCUAAUUAAAGUUAAAGAUUCAGGAGGGUUCAUCAAGUCUUGGAGGAUUCAGAGCUGUUAUGAUUCCCUGCUGGAUAUGACACCAUCUGCUCUUUGGUCCUUGUUGUCCCCAAGUUUUCUAAUAAAGAUUUGACCCAUAUAUAAUAAAAAAAAAAAGUACCUUGGCAAAAUGUAACCUGUCACGCACCCAUUCCAUGGCAACGACACGUUUGCUCUGGCACUGUG
rnacentral:lncRNA from 1 species